rnacentral:rRNA from 1 species
GAUGAACGCUGGCGGCGUGCCUAGUACAUGCAAGUCGAGCGAACAGACGAGGAGCUUGCUCCUCUGACGUUAGCGGCGGACGGGUGAGUAACACGUGGAUAACCUACCUAUAAGACUGGGAUAACUUCGGGAAACCGGAGCUAAUACCGGAUAAUAUAUUGAACCGCAUGGUUCAAUAGUGAAAGACGGUUUUGCUGUCACUUAUAGAUGGAUCCGCGCCGCAUUAGCUAGUUGGUAAGGUAACGGCUUACCAAGGCAACGAUGCGUAGCCGACCUGAGAGGGUGAUCGGCCACACUGGAACUGAGACACGGUCCAGACUCCUAAGGGAGGCAGCAGUAGGGAAUCUUCCGCAAUGGGCGAAAGCUUGACGGAGCAACGCCGCGUGAGUGAUGAAGGUCUUCGGAUCGUAAAACUCUGUUAUUAGGGAAGAACAAAUGUGUAAGUAACUAUGCACGUCUUGACGGUACCUAAUCAGAAAGCCACGGCUAACUACGUG